AUCGCUUCUUCUGUUGUUGAAAUAAGACUGGUUUGUUGAUCUCCAACUUCCAAGUCUUCAUUAGAGGAAAACACAACCUGAAGAUAUGGAAUUCCAUGAAGUGCGUGCCUAACCCACUGAGUAUCCAUUCAACAGCAGUAUGCAGGAAAACAAAGUUGAAUACUUACGCCUUAAGCAACAGACCAUUGCUCUACUCACCAGAUUGCUUGAAAAGUGUAAAUUCUAUACUGACAGUCCAGGUUGGAAGAAACUAUGAGGAAGGCAAUGACAGUGAACCUAUGCUGAACAUGGGGCAAAGAAAUGGAAGGAAACUGCUUCACUUAUGAUGAUAUUCACAAGUCAUUCUGGAUUACAAGGAAGCCAAGGAGGAGAUGAAGAAAACACAAACACCAAACACAAAAGAACAUCCAACCACACCUGCAGGCCUUGUGCUGCAAAGAAUGACCAAAGCAAAGCCUUCCACCACAUGAAAUACAUUGGAAUAAAGGGUCCUUUCCAGAGGAAGGGUAUG